rnacentral:lncRNA from 1 species
UGAGCCACAGUCUCUGGAACAGUAGUUAACACUCCUGGGCACUAAGCCAUCUCUCCAGGGGGAUAGUUUUGAGAGUGGAAGAAGAAACUAUUCAAAGUAUGCAUGAUAAGGAAUAUAAAUGGCUUGUCCUGAGAAAUGAGUGCUAUGGCUGCCUGGACUAUAAGCCCUAGAAGUAAAAACCUAUGGAAAGCUACACCACUACACCGAGCGGCAACAAGAGCAAGCAAAAUCCACUUAAGGUUUUAGUAUCUGUGAUUACUUUGUGUGUUCUCUACCUCCAGCGGUCUGCAGCCUCGUUCUCCUCUCCCGGCCUAGCUUUUAGGAAGGGAAGGAUCCAGGAGAGCCAUCUAGUGAGAAGAGCAUUACCACUAAAACUGUAGUGCGUUGGAGCGUCAGAGAAAGAUCUUAAGGACUGUGUCCAGGCCAGUUUACUCUCUUUGUCCUCUGGGAAAAUUGCUCCAGCAGAGGACCUGACAGGAGAAUGCGGAGACCGUUGUUUGCACCACUUUACAGAUUUGUGUAAGACUAUUUGGGGACUUUAAGGACUCCAGCGGGAGGAGAAGAGGCCAAGAACCUCCCGCAGUGGAUGCAGGUGCGAUUCUGGGAAGGCAGCUGCAACUUUUCUCUUUUUAUUUCUUACAGAUUUGUGUGACCAAAGGGGCAUCACCGGCCUCCUGGUUUCUGGGCAGAUAAAAAGUGGAAAACCCGGAAGGUUUUCACACUUCUGGCUUCCCGGAAACACGGGAGGAAAUCAAGGGCAGCACUCGCCCGAGCAUGGCUCUGCAUUAGACUGACGACCUUGGACUGAAACUGCCCUGUGUCCAAACAAGGGCGAAGACAUGAUCAGCCCUCUGGUUAUUUUCACCCAUGUGAAGAGGCACUUGGCAUCUUGGAUUCACACCAGCCCUGGCCAUGGGAAGAAGCCGUGUGUUGAUUGAAGCAGUCUGAGACCGGUGAUUUGGAGAAGUAGAAAAACAAACUAGGUGCCCUGACCAGACCCACCCGUAGCUCCAUAUGCUGUUUUCCUGCCACUCAGCGUCUGAUGGAUGAGAGAAGGUGGCUCCUGAGGAGAGGAAGGUG